CCACCACGUGCCCGUGCUGGAGCCCGGCACCUACAACGGCACCUUCACCACCCUAAAUUUCCGAGGAAAUGCUAUCUCCUCCAUUGAAAAAAAUGCAUGGAGAGCAUACCCCUGGACUGAGAAACUAAUCCUCAGUGAAAGCUCCAUAACUGAGUUACGGAAAGAUACUUUUGAAGGCCUGCUGUCUCUGCGAUAUCU